rnacentral:lncRNA from 1 species
AUUGUAGUUACCAAAAGAAGGGGAGUGAAUCUCAGAGAAACAAGAACAGUGGCUUUCUCUACAUAUAUCUACUCAAAAACAGCAACAGCAAACAAAAAAUUAGAAGGAAGGAUGAAGACAAACACUAGGAACAUAAAAGUCUCUCCUAUUCUCUAGAUAGAUGCAUCCUUAGGAUCAACCUCUACAUAUCAUUUUGUAACUGUUAUUUUUACUUAUUUGUUGAGGACUUAGUAUAUACAGUGCUCUAAUAAAGCUCAGCACAGAGGAGGCAUAGAAAGACUGGGAAAAAAGCUUGGAAGGGUCCGGCUGCAUGGAG